rfam:Lupinus angustifolius cultivar Tanjil contig_28803, whole genome shotgun sequence.
AAUCCAUGAUUUGGGCACUUUCUCAACAUAAAUUUGAAUCUAUCCCAAGAUUCACAAGGAUUUUCCCCAGUAGGUUGAACAAAAGUGGAAAUUGUUGUUUUCUGAUC